rnacentral:lncRNA from 1 species
GGCUUCCCAGCCCAGGCCUGGACUAGAAAGCCUGCCUGAACCUCCAGACCCUUGGAUGAGAAGCAUCACCUGACUUCUUGCAACCAGCAUCCUCCAAGGACCCGAGGCAUUCCAAUCACCAUGACUGCUGAACUUGCGUAAGACUCCUAGAAAGCACUACACUGAAAUGCUCAACUUCUGUUCAAGCAAAUCCAUUCUUCGCUGGCAUUAGUCUACUUCUUCAGGAUUCCAGUGUCUCCUGAAAACCAGCUGAGGCAUCCAGCCUUGUGGACUGAGAAACUUCUGGAUUCUUGGAUUUUCUGUUCAUAGCCAGCCAUUGUUAGAUUAGCUGGACCACAGCUUGUAAGUCAUUUUAAUAAACCAUAUAUAAAUAUAAAUAUAUAUAUAUAUAUAUAUAUAUGCAUGCACACACAUUCUCUAUAAGUUCUGUUACUCUAGAGAACUCUGGCUAAUACAACCAUCAUAGUCAAUUGCAGGGAGCAAUGAAUGCAGGCAUGCUUCUUGCUUGCCUGCUCACUAACUUUGUCCACUAUUGCACAUUUCAUGGUUCCACCUAAGGAAUGGUGCCACCUUCAGUGGACUGGGUUAAUUAACAAUCAAGACAACCCUGCCACAGACAUGCCCACGGGCCAAUCUGUUCAGACAAUUUUUCACUUGAGGUUUUCCUCUCAGAGAUUCUAGACUAUGGCAACAUGACACCUAAAACUAACUACACUUACCUCAUCAGCUCAUUUAGUUUUAGGUAAAGAUAUUUUUUUUUAAUUGGUU